rnacentral:rRNA from 1 species
UACGGAGGGAGCUAGCGUUGUUCGGAAUUACUGGGCGUAAAGCGCACGUAGGCGGCUAUUCAAGUCGGGGGUGAAAGCCCGGGGCUCAACCCCGGAACUGCCCUCGAAACUAGAUAGCUAGAAUCUUGGAGAGGUCAGUGGAAUUCCGAGUGUAGAGGUGAAAUUCGUAGAUAUUCGGAAGAAACACCAGUGGCGAAGGCGACUGACUGGACAAGUAUUGACGCUGAGGUGCGAAAGCGUGGGGAGCAAACAGGGAUUAAGAUGAC